GACGAACGCUGGCGGCGUGCCUAAUACAUGCAAGUUGAGCGAUGAAGAUUGGUGCUUGCACCAAUUUGAAGAGCAGCGAACGGGUGAGUAACGCGUGGGGAAUCUGCCUUUGAGCGGGGGACAACAUUUGGAAACGAAUGCUAAUACCGCAUAACAACUUUAAACAUAAGUUUUAAGUUUGAAAGAUGCAAUUGCAUCACUCAAAGAUGAUCCCGCGUUGUAUUAGCUAGUUGGUGAGGUAAAGGCUCACCAAGGCGAUGAUACAUAGCCGACCUGAGAGGGUGAUCGGCCACAUUGGGACUGAGACACGGCCCAAACUCCUACGGGAGGCAGCAGAAGGGAAUCUUCGGCAAUGGACGAAAGUCUGACCGAGCAACGCCGCGUGAGUGAAGAAGGUUUUCGGAUCGUAAAACUCUGUUGGUAGAGAAGAACGUUGGUGAGAGUAGAAAGCUCAUCAAGUGACGUUAACUACCCAGAAAGGGACGGCUAACUACGUG
rnacentral:rRNA from 1 species